rnacentral:rRNA from 1 species
UACCUCAAUCUUAGAUAUCUCGACUCUCGCAUCGAUGAAGAACGUAGCAAAAGGUGAUACUUGGUGUGAAUUGGAGGAUCUCGCAAACCACCCAGUCUUUGAACAUAGGUUGUGCUUGGAGCCUUCUGGCCGAGGGUAUGUCGCCUGGGCGUCA